rnacentral:rRNA from 1 species
GACGAACGCUGGCGGCGUGCUUAACACAUGCAAGUCGAACGGAAAGGCCCUGCUUUUGUGGGGUGCUCGAGUGGCGAACGGGUGAGUAACACGUGAGUAACCUGCCCUUGACUUUGGGAUAACUUCAGGAAACUGGGGCUAAUACCGGAUAGGAGCUCCUGCUGCAUGGUGGGGGUUGGAAAGUUUCGGCGGUUGGGGAUGGACUCGCGGCUUAUCAGCUUGUUGGUGGGGUAGUGGCUUACCAAGGCUUUGACGGGUAGCCGGCCUGAGAGGGUGACCGGCCACAUUGGGACUGAGAGACGGCCCAGAAUCCUACGGGAGGCAGAAGUGGGGAAUAUUGCACAAUGGGCGGAAGCCUGAUGCAGCAACGCCGCGUGCGGGAUGACGGCCUUCGGGUUGUAAACCGCUUUCGCAUGUGACGAAGCGUGAGUGACGGUAAUGGGUAAAGAAGCACCGGCUAACUACGUG